CCCUAGUCCCGAUUGAAGUGAAAAGCCCGGAGCAAAAAAAGCAAAAGUUUCCUGUGAAAGAAAAGCGACCAACGGAAGCUCUUUCUAGCACUUUGGAAACUUUACUUUUUUUGUGAGGACUUGUAACGAAAAGCUGGAAUUAAC
rnacentral:sRNA from 1 species